rnacentral:rRNA from 1 species
AUUGAACGCUGGCGGCAGGCCUAACACAUGCAAGUCGAGCGGAUGAAGGGAGCUUGCUCCUGGAUUCAGCGGCGGACGGGUGAGUAAUGCCUAGGAAUCUGCCUGGUAGUGGGGGAUAACGUCCGGAAACGGGCGCUAAUACCGCAUACGUCCUGAGGGAGAAAGUGGGGGAUCUUCGGACCUCACGCUAUCAGAUGAGCCUAGGUCGGAUUAGCUAGUUGGUGGGGUAAAGGCCUACCAAGGCGACGAUCCGUAACUGGUCUGAGAGGAUGAUCAGUCACACGGAAACUGGGAAACGGUCCAGCCUCCUACGGGGGGCGGCAGUGGGGAAAUUGGGAAAAUGGGCGAAAGCCUGAUCCAGCCAUGCCGCGUGUGGAAAGAAGGUCUUCGGAUUGUAAAGCACUUUAAGUUGGGAGGAAGGGCAGUAAGUUAAAACCUUGCUGUUUUGACUUUCCCAACAAAAUAAGCACCGGCUAACUUCGU